ACUUUAAGAUAUGGUAAUGGCAACUGUCAACAAUUAAAUCCUGUCAGAUUUUUCAUUAAAAAAAAAAUGAUUUCUAACUGGUCCUUCCAAUAAACAAUUUACAGAACCAUAACAACAGCUUUUAGACUGAAUAACUCAAAUUUUAUCAGCUGAGUCAAGUUCCAGCUGCUGAAUAUAAUAUCAUGUUUAAAAAGUAACAAGUAGCAAUUACCCAAAAUACAGAAUGCGUAG
rnacentral:misc_RNA from 1 species